UGAGGAAUAUUGGACAAUGGAUGGAAAUCUGAUCCAGCCAUGCCGCGUGCAGGAAGAAUGUCCUAUGGAUUGUAAACUGCUUUUGUAUGGGAGCAAUAAGGUAUUCGUGAAUACCGAUGAGAGUACCAUACGAAUAAGCACCGGCUAACUCCGUGCCAGCAGCCGCGGUAAUACGGAGGGUGCAAGCGUUAUCCGGAUUUAUUGGGUUUAAAGGGUGCGUAGGCGGUUAUAUAAGUCAGCGGUGAAAUUUUUCGGCUCAACCGGGAACAUGCCGUUGAUACUGUAUAGCUUGAAUAUGGUUGCUGUGAGUGGAAUGUGUAGUGUAGCGGUGAAAUGCUUAGAUAUUACACAGAAUAUCGAUUGCGAAGGCAACUCACAAAGCCAAUAUUGACGCUGAGGC
rnacentral:rRNA from 1 species